rnacentral:rRNA from 1 species
UACACGACCGUACCGCAAACCGACACUGGUGCGCGAGAUGAGUAUUCUAAGGCGCUUGAGAGAACUCAGGAGAAGGAACUCGGCAAAUUGACACCGUAACUUCGGAAGAAGGUGUGCCUUUAGUAGGUGAACCUGUACAAGGGGAGCCCAAUGAGGUUGCAAAAAAUCGGUGGCUGCGACUGUUUAAUAAAAACACAGCACUCUGCAAACACGAAAGUGGACGUAUAGGGUGUGACGCCUGCCCGGUGCUGGAAGAUUAAAUGAUGGGGUGCAAGCUCUUGAUUGAAGUCCCAGUAAACGGCGGCCGUAACGAUAACGGUCCUAAGGUAGCGAAAUUCCUUGUCGGGUAAGUUCCGACCUGCACGAAUGGCGUAACGAUGGCCACACUGUCUCCUCCUGAGACUCAGCGAAGUUGAAAUGUUUGUGAUGAUGCAAUCUCCCCGCGGAAAGACGGAAAGACCCCAUGAACCUUUACUGUAGCUUUGUAUUGGACUUUGAACAGAUCUGUGUAGUAUAGGUGGGAGGCUUUGAAGUGUGGUCGCUAGAUCGCAUGGAGCCAACGUUGAAAUACCACCCUGGUGUGUUUGAGGUUCUAACCUAGGCCCGUAAUCCGGGUCGGGGACAGUGCAUGGUAGGCAGUUUGACUGGGGCGGUCUCCUCCCAAAGCGUAACGGAGGAGUUCGAAGGUACGCUAGGUACGGUCGGACAUCGUGCUAAUAGUGCAAUGGCAUAAGCGUGCUUAACUGCGAGACUGACAAGUCGAGCAGAUGCGAAAGCAGGACAUAGUGAUCCGGUGGUUCUGUAUGGAAGGGCCAUCGCUCAACGGAUAAAAGGUACUCUGGGGAUAACAGGCUGAUACCGCCCAAGAGUUCAUAUCGACGGCGGUGUUUGGCACCUCGAUGUCGGCUCAUCUCAUCCUGGGGCUGUAGCCGGUCCCAAGGGUAUGGCUGUUCGCCAUUUAAAGAGGUACGUGAGCUGGGUUUAAAACGUCGUGAGACAGUUUGGUCCCUAUCUUCCGUGGGCGCUGCAGAUUUGAGGAAGCCUGCUCCUAGUACGAGAGGACCGGAGUGGACACACCUCUGGUGUAUCGGUUGUCACGCCAGUGGCAUUGCCGAGUAGCUAUGUGUGGAAGAGAUAACCGCUGAAAGCAUCUAAGCGGGAAACUCGUUUCAAGAUGAGAUCUGCCGGGGCCUUGAGCCCCCUAAAGAGUCGUUCAAGACCAGGACGUUGAUAGGUCGGGUGUGGAAGCGCAGUAAUGCGUUAAGCUAACCGAUACUAAUUGCUCGUGCGGCUUGACCU